AACUACUAAAACAGAAUGAAAUGAAAGGAAGGAAACGAAGCUGCUCAGUGUGAAAGAAUCUGGUGGAGGAAGAUUUAUCGAUGUGGGAAGACUGAUGAUGCCAAAAGAAGACCAAUCACACCGACACACCCUGAUCACCACACAUUUACCUAUGUGCUUUUCUCCUUGCGUGCCCUUCAUGUGGGUUUUCUGGAACAUUGUGACAGGUCGUUUGUUAUAAAUCACCUGAUGCUCUCAGGUUCAAGGCCACCAGGACAGAAUGCUGAGGAACCAGUUCAAUAGAAUCCAGGUUUACCUCCGUAACCCCACGUCUCUGCUCUGACCAUGUCAAAGUUACAUCAGUCUUCCGGGUGUGAAGAGAAGCAGCAGUAUAAAGGACGGAGACGGAGACACAGCAGGCACAUCUUCCUGAGAGACUUCACUGAUCUCCAUCUUCAGAGCUCCGUCUCCCUGCUGCUCCACCCGACCUCCACAAGAGUCUCUCCACCUGUUCCUGCCUCUUCUCCACCAUGAAGACAGGUGCUCUGCUUCUCCUGCUGGCAGUUGCUGCCAGCCAGGUGGACGUCUCCAUGUCUCAAUCAGUAACAUUUGAUCUUUCUGAUGGAGUGGUGAACAUCAGCUUGUGUCCCAUCACCUUCUAUGGACGCUCAUUCUCAUGGGUGGACGUGAGGGUGAAGGAUUUUUUGGUAAUUUGUUUCAUGGACGGCGCCAACGAUCCACCUCAAGACUGUCUGACGCUGAAUCAAGCGUUUGGAUCAGAAGAGGUUUUUGUGACGCUGUCAUCAGCUGCAACAGAUGCAUCUUCUGUAAAUCUGCGCAACAUAAAGGGGUCAUCAAAAUGCUCUUUGGCACUUGUUUUCGUAGAAGAUUCCACC